UACGUCAACAUCACGUUGAAACCUCCGUUCUCAUCCAACCAGCGAAGUUAGUUAAGCAACGUCAAGCUUGCUCAGUACCUAGAUGGGUGACCGCUUGGGAGUACCAGGUGCUGUAAG